rnacentral:misc_RNA from 1 species
GAACGCACAUUGCGCCCGCCAGUAUUCUGGCGGGCAUGCCUGUUCGAGCGUCAUUUCAACCCUCAAGCCCAGCUUGGUGUUGGGGAUCGGCACAGGCGCCUUCGGGCGCCCGCCGUCCCCUAAAUCUAGUGGCGGUCCCGCUGCAGCCUCCUCUGCGUAGUAGUUUUCUCCUCGCAAGGGCAGCUCGGUGACGACCUCGCCGUAAAACCCCCAACUUCUGAAAGGUUGACCUCGAAUCAGGUAGGAAUACCCGCUGAACUUAAG